rnacentral:rRNA from 1 species
UACGUAGGGGGCUAGCGUUAUCCGGAAUUACUGGGCGUAAAGGGUGCGUAGGUGGUUUCUUAAGUCAGAGGUGAAAGGCUACGGCUCAACCGUAGUAAGCCUUUGAAACUGGGAAACUUGAGUGCAGGAGAGGAGAGUGGAAUUCCUAGUGUAGCGGUGAAAUGCGUAGAUAUUAGGAGGAACACCAGUUGCGAAGGCGGCUCUCUGGACUGUAACUGACACUGAGGCACGAAAGCGUGGGGAGCAAACAGGAUUAGAUACCCUGGUAGUCCCUGAGCGGG